GACAGAGGGGGCAAGCGUUGCUCGGAAUUACUGGGCGUAAAGGGCGCGUAGGCGGGAUGGCAAGUCGGUCGUGAAAUCCCUCGGCUCAACCGAGGAACGUCGAUCGAUACUGCUGUUCUUGAGGAUUGCAGAGGAGACUGGAAUUCCCGGUGUAGCGGUGAAAUGUGUAGAGAUCGGGAGGAACACCGGUGGCGAAGGCGGGUCUCUGGGCAAUGCCUGACGCUGAGGCGCGAAAGCGUGGGGAGCAAACGGG
rnacentral:rRNA from 1 species